rnacentral:rRNA from 1 species
GUCCGGCAGCCGCAGUAACACGCGCAGGGUGGGGACAGUCCGGAGGGAAGGCCGGCCCCGGGAACGAGGGCGGAACCCACAGACACUUGACGGCGAUCACCGCGGAAGCGGUGAAUAUAAAGCCCCCCCCCCGUGGCGACAGGGGGAGGCCGCGAGAAAGCGCGACCCGCCUAUUCCCUCGAUGUGAACACGAACGUGUACGCGCGAGGGAGAGGUCUCGAAAGCAACAGAUGUGAGCGUAAUACCUUGUCGCUUAAUUGGCGACUUGCAUGAAGGCCCAACGAGAGCUCUCCUGUCCCCGCGUGGAGGCCGGUGAAACUGACGUACUGGCGCACAGUCCAGUACCUUCCACCUGAAAGCGAAGACCCCGUGGAGCUUUACUGCAGUCUGUCGCUGCCGUAUGAGUUUGGAUGUGUAGCGUAGGCGGGACUCGUUACAAAGGGCCGACCGCUAGGUCGGCACCGAGAGGCCGAUGAAACACCGCCCUUCUGGAUUCGUACGGCUUACCCCUUCGGAGGGACAACGAUAGGUAGGCAGUUUGGGUGGGGCGCCACGCCCUCAAAAAGAUAACAAGGGCGCCCAAAGGUUGGCUUAGGAGGGUCAGAAAUCCUCCGUUAACUGUAAGGGGAAAAGCCAGCCUGACGUGGACUUGCCCAACGAGAGUCCACGAGAGGAAACUCGGGCCUAGCGAACCCAUGAGCCUGAUUUGUGCGGGCCAUGGAUGACAGAAAAGUUACCCCGGGGAUAACUGAGUCGUCUCCGGCUAGAGUUCCUAUCGACCCGGAGGCUUGCUACUUCGACGUCGGCUCUUCCUAUCCUGGUGGUGCAUGAGCUGCCAAGGGUGGGGUUGUUCGCCCAUUAAAAGGGAUCGUGAGCUGGGUUCAGACCGUCGUGAGACAGGUUUGUUGCUUUUUGGUGGAAGCGCUUUGAUGCCUGAGGGGAAGGUCCCUUAAGUACGAGAGGAACGGGGGAUCGGCGCCUCUAGUGUAUGGGUUGUCUGGCAAGGCAUUGCCCAGCAGCCACGCGCUAUACGGAUAACGGCUGAAAGCAUCUAAGCCGGAAACCGCCCUCAAGACGAGGCAUCUUACGGCCGCGGUAGUCGACCGCGUUGAUAGAGCGGGGGUGUACGCAGGAAGUUCGCAAGAGCGACCUGUUCAGCCCGCCGCCACUAACCGCCGUAGCCACACUA